rnacentral:lncRNA from 1 species
UCUUCGCCCUUUCCCCCCACCCUCCGAGGGCAUUUUGGUCAAUGUAGGCCCCUGUGCAUGGUAUACGCUUUUUUUUUAUUCUAAGGCAAACAGGAUGGAGCCAGGCAAUGUUGAUGAGGCGAAGAGCUCUUCGUAUGGUGGGAUAUUUGUAGGUAUAUACGGGUAUAUACGGUUUGGUAUACGGAUCUACUACGGUCUAUGCUGGGUGUAUUCUUAGAUUGCGUAUGUUUAGGGGAUGAGGGGUUUUUGAAGUGAUCAAAUGGGUACUCUCACCAAAUUGGUUAAAAAUGGCGUUUUUUUGGAUUUUUGAAGUGGGUUUUUUGGAUAUGCCUGGUAGGUAUUUGUUGUUUUUCCCGUGAGAAGUGAUGAGGAAUACUUGUUGCGCCAUUGACCAUUUCUCUUACUUGGUUUCUUUUUUAAGGAUUUAAUGUAUUUGGUUCAAAUUUGCAGUCGCCAAAUUGGUUAAAAAUGGCGUAUUUGGAUUAUUUGAAGUAUGAGGAAUUCUUGUUGCUCCAGAACCCAUUUCUCUAAUUUGUUUCCCUUUUGAGGCAAUUAAUGUGGUUGGUUUUUGAAACGAUCAAA